AUGCUGGGAGUGGUUCAGCCGCAUCGAGGAAAGGACCCCUUCCUUCAUAGGCUCCUGCAGUGAUCCUGAUUGCACAGGUCGCCCUCUCGCGCUGUGUGCGCUGGUGCCAGGGUUUGGCCUUAACUGCACUGAUUGAAUCUUAGCCACCCUGUUCAGGUCUUAUUUUCAGGCAGAGUUUGAGAAUCAUCCUAGAGGCACCAAAAGUUAAUCUGCUGUAGAUUUGGCAGAGUAAUUCUUUGCUGGAAGCCAUUGAUGGACACUGCUGUUUAACCAGAUGUACCAGUCUGUCCAGAAUCAGACCUGUCAGGCUGCAAAUGGUUUUCGGGAGGAUGUCGAUGCAACAUUGCUCUGUGCCAGAGGAUAGGAGUGAAGCAAGGGACGGGUCCUAGGAAUCUAAGCACUGGCUUCAGGACGCACCUAACUCUGGAGACCCUGUUCCAAGGGUCAGGACGGGGUGAAAGAAGUGGCAGAGAGACUGAGAAAGGAGAGGAAAAUGGACAGAGAGAGGACAUGGGGUCAAGAAAACAAGAAGGCAAAAGAGGAAGAAGAUGGGCAAAGAAGUGGGGAAAAUCAAUGCCUAGAAGU